GAGACACCGCCCACACGCCAGACGCGCUGUGAUUGGCCCCAGCUACCCUCGGACCGAGAUUCCUAUUGGUCCCAGGUGUCGAGCAUGCGCACUUUGGUCGUGGGCGCGUGUGUGGAAUGGGAGGAGGUCGCGCUGUCCAUGGGCGUCCUUGGCCUGCGCCACCCAGAGAUGAUAAAUAGCCAAAGACGUCAAUGGCACCCAUGGACAUAGUAAGCAUAGUAGGAGCUGAAAAACUAGAAGCAAUGACAAUGUCAACUAUUUUGAGCAAAAAGAAGCAGUGUCUUCGGAACAUUUGAUCAUAAAA
rnacentral:lncRNA from 1 species